rnacentral:rRNA from 1 species
UGGGGAAUUUUGGACAAUGGGGGAAACCCUGAUCCAGCCAUCCCGCGUGUGCGAUGAAGGCCUUCGGGUUGUAAAGCACUUUUGGCAGGAAAGAAACGUCGCGGGUUAAUACCCCGCGAAACUGACGGUACCUGCAGAAUAAGCACCGGCUAACUACGUGCCAGCAGCCGCGGUAAUACGUAGGGUGCAAGCGUUAAUCGGAAUUACUGGGCGUAAAGCGUGCGCAGGCGGUUCGGAAAGAAAGAUGUGAAAUCCCAGAGCUUAACUUUGGAACUGCAUUUUUAACUACCGGGCUAGAGUGUGUCAGAGGGAGGUGGAAUUCCGCGUGUAGCAGUGAAAUGCGUAGAUAUGCGGAGGAACACCGAUGGCGGAGGCAGCCUCCUGGGAUAACACUGACGCUCAUGCACGAAAGCGUGGGGAGCAAACAGGAUUAGAUACCCUGGUAGUCCACGCCCUAAACGAUGUCAACUAGCUGUUGGGGCCUUCGGGCCUUGGUAGCGCAGCUAACGCGUGAAGUUGACCGCCUGGGGAGUACGGUC